UACAGAGGGGGCAAGCGUUGUUCGGAAUUACUGGGCGUAAAGGGCGCGUAGGCGGCCCGCUAAGUCGAACGUGAAAUCCCUGGGCUCAACCCAGGGACUGCGUCCGAUACUGGCAGGCUUGAAUCCGGGAGAGGGAUGCGGAAUUCCAGGUGUAGCGGUGAAAUGCGUAGAUAUCUGGAGGAACACCGGUGGCGAAGGCGGCAUCCUGGACCGGCAUUGACGCUGAGGAGCGAAAGCCAGGGGAGCAAACGGG
rnacentral:rRNA from 1 species